GCAGCAUUAUCUGGGUUUCCCAGCACAUGCAAAGCCCAAAGUUCAGUAAUCCUGUCAUCCUUCUGGGCUAGACCUGGAGACUGGGUCUUCUCAAACCAGAUCACACGAUGGGGGUUUUUCUUUGAACAUGACAGGAUUUGCACAGGGGGACCUCCUCGAAGAGUUGCCUACUACUGCCCCCUUGUUGUCUCCUCCUCCUCCUUCUCCUUCCUCCUCCAACCUGUAUUUUACCAGAAUGAAGGAGAUGAGAAGCUUCACACAGUCUCACAAGGAAGACUCAGGUAAAGAUUCCUUGGUGACAUCACAAAUGAAGACCAACCACAUGUUCUUUACAGGAGACCACAUAGUGGUUGAAGGAAGAUCUCUCUGUCUUUUCUGUCACAGCAGCUCCAUUGUAUUUUAAGUACACAGUGGUCAAUAAGAGAGAAAACAGUUCUUAACCCUUCUUAACCUUAUUCUUUUAGACAUAGGGAAAUGCAUUGAUAAGUCUGUUGGUGAGUUAAGUACUGAACUUGCUCACAUUGUGUCCAUCUGCUGGCUAAAAAAUGAGAGCAUGUGUGUUUGGCUUUGUGGAUCUAAUUUUACACGCCCUUUGGUUUUAUUCCAAGUAUUUCAUGUGCAAUAUUUCUUACCAGGAAAAAUGAAAUAUUGAAUGCUGGACAAAAAAAAUUUUUAAAGAAAAAAAAUAAUAAAAUAAAUCAUACAUCAUACA
rnacentral:lncRNA from 1 species